rnacentral:ncRNA from 1 species
GUAACGGGGCUCAAGCGAUACACCGAAGCUGCGGAUGCACAGCAAUGUGCGUGGUAGAGGAGCGUUCUGUAAGCCUGUGAAGGUGACUCGUAAGGGUUGCUGGAGGUAUCAGAAGUGCGAAUGCUGACAUGAGUAACGACAAUACGGGUGAAAAACCCGUUCGCCGUAAGCCCAAGGGUUCCAGCGCAACGGUAAUCGGC